rnacentral:rRNA from 1 species
UGAGCAAUCUGCCCUUCUCUUCGGAAUAAGCGUUGGAAACGACGUCUAAUGCCGAAUACGACCUCCUUUCGCAUGAUCGGAGGUGGAAAGCUCCGGCGGAGAAGGAUGAGCUCGCGGCCUAUCAGCUAGUUGGUGUGGGUAAUGGCCCACCAAGGCGACGACGGGUAGCCGGCCUGAGAGGGGUGGCCGGCCACACUGGGACUGAGACACGGCCCAGACUCCGUACGGGAGGNAGCG